AACGAACGCUGGCGGCAGGCUUAACACAUGCAAGUCGAGCGCCCCGCAAGGGGAGCGGCAGACGGGUGAGUAACGCGUGGGAAUCUACCCAACCCUACGGAAUAACGCAUGGAAACGUGUGCUAAUACCGUAUACGCCCUACGGGGGAAAGAUCUAUCGGGGAUGGAUGAGCCCGCGUUGGAUUAGCUAGUUGGUGGGGUAAAGGCCUACCAAGGCGACGAUCCAUAGCUGGUCUGAGAGGAUGAUCAGCCACAUUGGGACUGAGACACGGCCCAAACUCCUACGGGAGGCAGCAGUGGGGAAUAUUGGACAAUGGGCGCAAGCCUGAUCCAGCCAUGCCGCGUGAGCGAUGAAGGCCCUAGGGUUGUAAAGCUCUUUCGCCGAUGAAGAUAAUGACGGUAGUCGGAGAAGAAGCCCCGGCUAACUUCGUGCCAGCAGCCGCCGUAACAC
rnacentral:rRNA from 1 species